UAUGAUAAUAGCAGUAUAUACUGUAUAUAUAGUUGUUACAUUUGGUAAUAAUAGCAUACGGUAUCCAGUUUUUGUCCUUCUCGUUUUAUUUCUGAGUCAGCAGUUUUGUUAGCAUAUCUAUUACGCAAAACAUUAUUUCUAAACGAGAAAAAGUGCGUUCAUCAUAUUAAUCUACAACUACGCUUGAAUUUUAAAAAAUAACAUUAAAAUAAAAGGUGAUCGUGAAAAAUCAGAAAUAAUUGCUUAAAAUGGCUAAUAUGAAAUAUAUCAUUUUACUUUCCUGUAUAAUGCUGCUUCUGUUACCCAGAGACAGUGUAGGUGCUAAAGGUAAAGUAGCUGUAGAUGCUAAAGGUAAAGUAGCUGUAGGUGAUAAAGAUAAAGCAGCUAUAGAUAUAUCAUCAAAUAACAGGAAUUUCAGGAAUCAGGUCCUGAAAUAACAGAAACAUCGACAAAUAAUAUGUAAAAUUAUAUCCAAAUAUAUUUCUAUACAUUUACAAUAAAAGAUGCACCGAUGAUCAAGACUUAUCUUUUGGAAAUAGGGAAGAAUGAACGUGCCAUCAACUCAAGAAAUACAAGAUGUAUCCAGCUUCCUUUCAAUUUAAGCUGCAUUUAAUUUACAAUCAACAUAAGCUUACAAAUAUUAAAAUAGAAAAAUAUUAAAAUAUGUGAAAAGUUUAUAAUUAUUAAUUGAAAAUUUUUACAAUAUAAUGUUUGCUUCUAUAAUUAAAUGAUAUCUGAUCUUAUUAGCUUUACUUGGUGGUGGUUUAUCAAUUCUUUAACUUUAGAGCUUGGAUUGCAAUUGUAAAAAC